UACGGAGGGGGCUAGCGUUGUUCGGAAUUACUGGGCGUAAAGCGCACGUAGGCGGCUUUGUAAGUUAGAGGUGAAAGCCCGGGGCUCAACUCCGGAAUUGCCUUUAAGACUGCAUCGCUAGAAUUGUGGAGAGGUAAGUGGAAUUCCGAGUGUAGAGGUGAAAUUCGUAGAUAUCGGGAGGAACACCAGUGGCGAAGGCGAUCACCUGGGGUUGUUCUGACGCUGAGGAGCGAAAGCUAGGGGAGCAAACGGG
rnacentral:rRNA from 1 species